AGCCUUGUAUACACCGCCCGUCAAGCCACGAAAGCUGGGAGUACCCGAAGUCGUGUACCCAACCGCAAGGGGGGAAGCGCCGACGGUAAGCUCAGUGAUUGGGACU
rnacentral:rRNA from 1 species